GACAGAGGGUGCAAACGUUGCUCGGAAUUACUGGGCGUAAAGCGCGUGUAGGCGGGUCGGAAAGUCGGGCGUGAAAUCCCCAGGCUCAACCUGGGAACUGCACUCGAAACUUCCGGUCUAGAGUGGUGGAGAGGGAAGUGGAAUUCCUGGUGUAGAGGUGAAAUUCGUAGAUAUCAGGAGGAACACCAGUGGCGAAGGCGGCUUCCUGGACACCAACUGACGCUGAGACGCGAAAGCGUGGGGAGCAAACGGG
rnacentral:rRNA from 1 species